UCUGUGGAGUAGCUCCGCCAGUAGAGCAGAAGACUCUUAAUCUCAGGGUCAUGGGUUCAAGCCCCACACUGAGGAGAA